AAAUAAAUUAACAUAAGUAGUUUCCUACUGAAUGGGUUUUAGAAAAGUUUACUUUUUAAAUUUGAAAUUAAGUAUAUUAUUAUAUAUUCAAAAUCCUGCCCCAACUGACAUUCUCUUUUACGCAAGCUUAUGUAUUUCCUCUCUCACAUUUAGCCCUGUCUUGCAGGAAUGCUCUAAAGAAAGGACGAUUCAGUACUGGAAAGAAAUGGUGGACCCUAUGGCUUACACCCAGCCAAACACUUAUGGCAUCCAUUUCAUAGGAUGCAUUUAAGUAUGUCUGUGGGUGUUCUUUGGAAGCAUGAAACAAACUAAGAUGCUCAACAGAUAAAGUGGCCCUACACAUCUGUCCACAUAUGUGCCAGGGAAGGUUUAAAGGACUCUGUACCACUGAGAUAUAUAAUAAGAUAAGCUGUAUACAGGACAUUUUAGAAAAGCGAGAGUUAAUGCUGUCUCUGGAAAGCAGGUGCAGGCCCCAUCAUGCCCUGGAGCAGUGGCUCAGCCUGUUGAACAGAAAAGGAGAAUUCCACUUGAUGAUGAGAAGAAAUAAAUCAGUUGGAGAAGGAAGUAGCUUGUGGCUCCUUGAGAAUUUUUCUAUUCUUCCAGCCUUCUCAUUCAAACAGAUAAAAGAGCAAGAGGAGUCCUUGGGCAAACCACAAGUAAAUGGGAAUAGUGAGUGGCUUGACUUUUCUACCAAAAUCAUAUUACUGAUCUUUUUUUCUCUGUACCCCAUUAGCAGCAUCUCUUGGUGAGCUGGAGGAAGCCUUCUUUUAUAGGUAUUGUGAGAGGUUGUAUUCUGAAUUAAUGCAGACAUUCAUUUGGAUAUUACCCUAAUAACUGCUGUUAUCCUUGCAUGGAACUGCUCUAUAAAUGUGCAUGAUCAUGGCUAUUUCUGGUGUUUGGUCUUGUAACACAAAUAAUUAUUCUGGGAAUAAACUGAAAAAAAGUAGAGAGAGUGAGAAGAACCUAGCUGUCUGCACACUCAUCAGAUGGCACUCGGGAUGAAGGUGUUCUGUGAUAGAUCUUCCAUUCACUUGCCAACGUUUCCCUCUCCAGAAAAGAAAGUCAUCUCAAUAAUUUUCAAAGAUAGAACGGCAGUAGCUGAACUCACUGUUUUUUGAGCUUGCAGUUUAUUCUUAGAAUCUAAGUGUCACUGUCCAGCCAAGCCCAUGGAUCCAGGUGGGUGAACAAACCAAGGCUGGCUCUUCUAUCUGGGAGCCAAGAACUAUGAUGGGAAAGAUGUUUUUCAAAGAAAAAGGUGUAUAUAUUUUUGGGGAGUUGCUUUGAAACUCAUCUUUGGAAAAGUGCAAAUUGCAGUCUGAGGCUUCCUCUUUUAUGGAAUGUGACACUAGUUUCCUGGAUGUUUGCAUUCCAAGAGAAAGCUUAUAAACUAUCACUUCAGUGCGUCAUGCACAAUAAAAAGUAAGUCAAAGAAUGAUGCAUUCCUGGUCUUGGAAUAUGAUGAAAAAUGUUUCCCAUCUGCCUUUUUUUCUUUCUUUUUUCAGGUUGUGUAACUAGAAUCAUAGAAUCCUUAGAGUUGGAAGGGAUCUUUAAAGGUCAUCUAGUCCAACUCCCCUGCAAUGAACAGGGACAUUCACAGCUCGAUCAGGUGUUGCCCAAGGCCUGAUUCAGCCUCAUUCAGGGAUCAAACGCAUCGCUAGGCAACCUGCUCCAGUGCUUCAGCACCUCACUGUAGAAGAUUUUUUUCUCUAUGUCCAACCCAAAUCUACCCUCUUUAAGCUUGAAGCCAUUUGCCCUUGUACUAUCACCACAGAUCAUGCUAAAGAGUGUGCCCCUUUCUUUCCUGUAGAUCCCUUUUAGAUACUGAAAGACUGCUCUCAGAUCACCUCAAAGCUUCCUCUUCUCCAGGCUGAAUAACCCCAGGUUUCUCAGCCUUGUAGGAAAGGUGUUCCAUCUCUUGGAUAAUUUUUGUGGCCCUCCUCUGGAUACACUCCAUCAGGUCCAUAUCUCUUAUGUACUGAGGACUCCACAUCUGGAUGCAGUACUCCAGGUGAAGUCUCACAAUGCAGAGAAGAAGAGCAAGAUCACCUUCCUUGACCUGCUGGCCAUGCAUCUUUUAAUGCAUCCCAGGAUACGAUUGGCUUUCUGGACUGUGAGGUCACAUUGCUGGCUCACGUCCAGCUUACCAUCCAGCAGUACACACAGAUCUUUUUUGGCAGGGCUGCACUCAAUCCUUUCAUCCCCCUGAUUUUAUUGGUAGUAAAGGUUGCCAUAACACAGGUGCAAAAUCUUGCACUUGGAUUUGUUAAACUUCUUGAGGUUCAACUGCGGGUCCACUGCUCAAGACUGUCUGGGUCCCCCUGGAUGGCAUCCCAUCCCUCCGGUGUGUUGGCUGCACCCCACAGACUGGUGUAAUCAGCAAACUUGCUGAGGAUGCAGUUGACCUCACUGACAAUGUCAUUGAUGAGGAUAUUAAAGAGUACCAGUCCCAGCACUGAUCCCCAUGGGAUACCACUGAUCCAAACAUUGAACAACUGAGCACCGCUUCCUGGACUCAAUCCUGCAGCCAGUUCUUCAUCCAUUGAUCAGUCCACCCAUCAAAUUCGUAUUUUUCCAAUUUGGAGAGAAGGAUGUUGUGGGGUACCAUGUCAAAGGUCUUACUGAAGACCAGAUAGAUGACGUCAGUGGCUCUUCACUUCUUCAUUGAUGCAGUGACACCAUCAUAAAAGGCCAUUUGGUUGGUCAAACAGGAUUUGCAUAGCUUCUAGGAGGAUCUGCUCCAUAAUCUCUCUCAGCACAGAGAAUAUUUCAGAAGUGAAAGAUGGAGAAUCAUGUGUUGUUAAAUCGUAAGGAAGAUCUAAAGGAAUGAGAAAGGAAAAUGAACAAUGUUUCUCUUAUUGUGGAAACCUUAAUGUGUGAUUCCAAGAAUAAACAAUAACCUUGGACAGAUACAAAAGGUAAAGUAUUAUUAAAUCAGAACGUUUUUUAAAAUACAUAUUUCUCAAUUGAUUUUCUAGAUUUUAUCUCAGAUACAGCUUGCGUUACAUGUCCAGGUAUAUUUUGUUGUUAUUUCUUUUCAGAGAGGCAUUCAAAUACAGUGACUCAGAUACCUUUAUCCACAGAAUUUUGUAAAAAAACAAGCUUUUCACUUUCAUAUCCUGAGCUCUCCUGUCCAGCUGACACAUUCCAAAUGACUAUUUGGUUUCAAGUUCCACGCUGCACUCUACCAAAUUUUUUUUUCUGAGCAGAUCAAGGCUGCAACACUUUGUAAGCAUUUUCAUAAGAAUGAUAACAUCCAAUCAGAACAUUAUAUAUGGUAGAACACAAGCCGACCACAACGUUGUUAACCUUGAAAGUUGGCCUUUCCUAUAGAGCUUAGGUCUCUUAACUGUAGCCUAAAUAUAAAAACAAAACAAAACAAAACAAAACAAUUUCAACUGAGAAAUAGAUUUCACCUGGUGAAAGGAAUGAGACUUCUUUGUAGAGUUAGCCAAAUAAUAUCAAAGAACUAGUUACAGUC